rnacentral:rRNA from 1 species
AGUGAACGCUGGCGGUAGGCCUAACACAUGCAAGUCGAACGGCAGCACAGUAAGAGCUUGCUCUUAAGGGUGGCGAGUGGCGGACGGGUGAGGAAUACAUCGGAAUCUACUUUUUCGUGGGGGAUAACGUAGGGAAACUUACGCUAAUACCGCAUACGACCUACGGGUGAAAGCAGGGGAUCUUCGGACCUUGCGCGAUUGAAUGAGCCGAUGUCGGAUUAGCUAGUUGGCGGGGUAAAGGCCCACCAAGGCGACGAUCCGUAGCUGGUCUGAGAGGAUGAUCAGCCACACUGGAACUGAGACACGGUCCAGACUCCUACGGGAGGCAGCAGUGGGGAAUAUUGGACAAUGGGCGCAAGCCUGAUCCAGCCAUACCGCGUGGGUGAAGAAGGCCUUCGGGUUGAAAAGCCCUUUUGUUGGGAAAGAAAAGCAGCAGGUUAAUACCCCGCUGUUCUGACGGUACCCAAAGAAUAAGCACCGGCUAACUUCGUG